rnacentral:rRNA from 1 species
CAGUAGCCGCGGUAAUACGUAGGGUGCGAGCGUUAAUCGGAAUUACUGGGCGUAAAGCGUGCGCAGGCGGUUGUGUAAGACAGGCGUGAAAUCCCCGGGCUUAACCUGGGAACUGCGCUUGUGACUGCACAGCUAGAGUAUGGCAGAGGGGGGUGGAAUUCCCGGUGUAGCGGUGAAAUGCGUAGAGAUCGGGAGGAACACCAGUGGCGAAGGCGGCCAUCUGGGACAACACUGACGCUGAGGCACGAAAGCGUGGGGAGCAAACAGGAUUAGAUACCCCGGUAGUCCCUGUCUCUUAUAC